UGGAGAUGCUCUAACAUAGGUGAAUCUGCUCUUAGAAAAACAAACAGAAUUAUAAUAUAAAUGAUCAUAUUUUACAGGAAAUUUGUCUAAUAUUUUAAAUUUUGAAUUUUUAGAUAUUUAUUUGCGGAUAUAUUAUCUCAUCUCAAAUUUAACAAAUUUAUUAUCUUUUAAAAUAUAUAAUCAAUUAAAUUGACAAAAUAUUAUCUUGACCUCUUCCUCAACUACUAUUCGACCUCCCCGUCAACUUCUCAAACCAGACUAACUCUUCCGUCUCGGCCUCUUUCGCUACCACCCUAUGUAAUUCCGACGAUAACUCCGUCGCCAGCCCGAACCUCCGCAAUGUUUACAUCUCUCACGAAUAACUCCUCUCCGUCAUCUCUUUACCAUCGUUUGCAUCUCUGUAACGCAGUGCUUCAAACUCAGAACUACCUCUCUCUCAGCUAUCCAAUCAAACUCCGCUCACCACCGUAACAGCCCACACGGCCACCCGUCAAUUAACCUUUAUCCCUCCGUACGUGGCAUGGCCGCCCAAAACUAAUACCAUCAGCCCUGUUCAAUCCCAAUCAACUGCCAUCACCUCCGAUCGAGCCUCACAACCGCCGAUUGCAAGUUUCAAACCUACCGCCCUCCUUCUUCAGCCACCCAGUUGUGAUUUUGGGAUAAUUUUUAAUUAAUUUUGUGAUGAUUUUUAGUUGAUUUUGUGAUUUCUUUUGUGUUAUUAAUACCGACCCGGCAGGGACACCAUCUUCGCAAUUUGUAACCACGUGCAGCUUAUCAUGCAAAUAAAUAUAUGUAUUGACAGAUUUUUUUAAAGCAACAUUUGUAAUUGCAAUUGUAAUUGUUGAUCAUAUUUUUGUAAAUAUUUUUUUAUAGAUAAUAUUUUUGCAAUUUGUUUUAAAAAAUGAUAGUAUUUUUUUAUUUUCUUUAAUUUGAAUAUUUAUGCAAAAC
rnacentral:lncRNA from 1 species